UAAUUACCAUGCAGCCAAGGCCUGUUGCCUCUGUAGAGGAGUGAGUGCAGAACUUUGUAAAGGAUCAACUGAAUCUGGCAACAAAACCUAAUAUGCUGACUGGAACCCAGGAGAUAUAUAAUGGACUCUGCUAAUUAACAAACAUAAUGCACUCCAAUAUGACUCUUUGACAACCUUCUGGGUGAAAGAUGGAGUAGAUACAGGUCCUCUUAAUUUCAAGGCUGAUGCUCUUUCCACUGCUCCAUGUGGCUGCCUCUUUUUCUUUUUAUUUCAGCACAAAUUAUUUCCCCAGGAGGUUAAUGGGUAAUUGAAGUAAGAAUUAGUUUCUUGAAAAUCUCAGGAAGAUUUUGAGCACAAUGAAAGGAAUGAGA